AGAAGAUACAAGAUUGGAUUUCUUAAGCCCUUCCACUUUAGCAGGUUACUUCUCUCAAUGGGGGUAACAUUUAACAUUGUUUUCUACAUGAUUAUAAUUUUGCUGCAUUUGUCUACUCUAUUACUAAAUGUUUGAUACCUAAUAUUAGAUGACAUGGGAGAGUCAUCUGAUCAAAAUCUCAACUUAUUUUUCUUUUUAGAUUAUACCUCAUAUUUACACCUUAAAAACUUAAGUGCAGAAUUAUAUUCGAAACUUCUAACAUUAUGUUUGUGUUUCUUAGAUUUAGCUUAAUACAAGGGUGCCUUAAACCGAAACAAAGAUCAAUAUCGUAACAUGACUACAACAAGGAAUCAACGUCGACGCCAACGACAAUAAUUAGGUUUAUUUUGGACGAUGGUCAUGCAAGCGAUUGUGAUAAAUAGCCCUUGUUUGAGCCACAUUAUUUCCAUAAUAAUGUAUUGAUCGGAAAUGCGUGGUUAAAAAAUAAAAAAGUUUUGGAUGUGCGUGUAAUAUUAUUUUAUUGAAGAAUGUGUGGUUGAAAUGAUAUCAAAUCAUUAUUUAAGAAUUUAUUUUUUUUUUGGAAAGAAUGUGGGUCAAAUAGGGUCAUAAUGAUAUUAGGCGUCGUGAACAACAUCUCCCUAAAGCUCUUCAUAUAAAUUCGGAUUCUAAACGAGAAAUGACGCUUGCACAAAUGUUUGGUACGAGUGAUACAACAUGUCAUGAUCUGCUUAGAAUGAAUAUAGGUUCGUUUCAAAGAUUAUGUGCUCGUUAACUUAUGGAUUGAAUGAUAGUAAAUAUGUCCAAAUUGAGGAACAAGUGGCUAUUUUUUAAAUACUCCUAGAGGAUCAAGCUAGGCUCGUUGCCCUAUCGAGUAUUGCCGAAUCGUCUAAAAAAAUUGCUAAUGCUAUGGAGAUUGAAGUGACAUUGGAUAUGCUAAACCAUAUCAAUUGGCAAUUGGUUCUUGAAAAAUUACAAUGCAUUAACAUAGACAAGCAUGACAUAAUGCAACUCAUGAAAAUAUUUUGAUCAGAUGAGAGUUUUAGCUAGAGUAUUUAUGGGCUUGAUUGAUUAACAAUUCAUACGUGAUUUAGUAUUUGAGAAUAUUGGUCGUGAUCCGCCUCCACUACUUUAAUAUGAUUUGCUUGGAUAAUUCGACAAACAUAUGCAGAAGUAUGAUAUCUAUGUCGAUUUCAAUUGUUCUUACAAUAGAGAUUUUUUUUGGUUAUUUUCUAUUCAUGUUAUACAUUGGACAAAAUCUG
rnacentral:lncRNA from 1 species